CCCUUAGAUGUCCGGGGCCGCACGCGCGCUACACUGAAGGAAUCAGCGUGGCUUUCUCCCUGACCCGAAAGGGUUGGGAAACCCGUUGAAUCUCCUUCGUGAUAGGGAUUGGGGCUUGAAAUUGUUCCCCAUGAACGAGGAAUUCCCCGUAAGCGCGAGUCAUAAGCUCGCGUUGAUUACGUCCCUGCCCUUUGUACACACCGCCCGUCGCUACUACCGAUUGAACGGUUUAGUGAGGGCCUCGGAUUGGUCUCGGCCCGCUCUUUACCGGGCGGCGCCGUUGGUCGAGAAGACGCUCGAACUUGAUCGUUUAGAGGAAGUAAAAGUCGUAACA
rnacentral:rRNA from 1 species